GAAAAAUCUCUCAGACCAAGGAGGAGCACCUACCUCUACUGGCACACAACGUACAGAACGUAUACAGCCAUGGAGCUGGGGGAACUGGCAAGAGAAUUAAAGCAGAAGAUUGCGCAGUCCUUGAUGCUGUGCAUGCCUUGGCCAGACUGGCAGAUGUAAAAGUAAGCUUCAAGGUAAGACAAAAUCUGUAAAACUAUACUGGCCAAAAAAAAAAAAAAAAAAAAGAAAAAAGAAAAAAAAAAAAAAGAUUGCGGGAGCCCUUUGCAAAUGGAGCUCUCCCCUCAAAGAUAGGCUGUGUGA
rnacentral:lncRNA from 1 species